rnacentral:rRNA from 1 species
UACGUGAGGUGGCAAGCGUUGUCCGGAAUUACUGGGUGUAAAGCGCGUGUAGGCGGCAGACCAAGUCGGGCGGUGAAAGCGCCCGGCUCAACUGGGCGAGGUCCGUGGAAACUGGUCAGCUGGAGGACGGUAGAGGCGGAGUGGAAAUUCCCGGUGUAGUGGUGAAAUGCGUAGAGAUCGGGAGGAACACCUGGUCGGCGGAAGGCGGCUCGGCUGGGCC